rnacentral:rRNA from 1 species
AUUGAACGCUGGCGGCAUGCUUUACACAUGCAAGUCGAACGAGUGCCUUCGGGUGCUAGUGGCGCACGGGUGCGUAACGCGUGGGAAUCUGCCCUUGGGUUCGGAAUAACCGUUGGAAACGACGGCUAAUACCGGAUGAUGUCGAUAAGACCAAAGAUUUAUCGCCUGAGGAUGAGCCCGCGUAGGAUUAGCUAGUUGGUGUGGUAAGAGCGCACCAAGGCGACGAUCCUUAGCUGGUCUGAGAGGAUGAUCAGCCACACUGGGAAUGAGACACGGCCCAGACUCCUACGGGAGGCAGCAGUGGGGAAUAUUGGACAAUGGGCGCAAGCCUGAUCCAGCAAUGCCGCGUGAGUGAUGAAGGCCUUAGGGUUGUAAAGCUCUUUCGCACACGACGGUGAUGACGGUAGUGUGAGAAGAAGCCCCGGCCAACUUCGUGCCAGCCGCCGCUGUAACAC